rnacentral:rRNA from 1 species
AGAAUCAACGCUGGCGGCGUGCCUAACACAUGCAAGUCGCACGAGAAAGGGACUUCGGUCCUGAGUAAAGUGGCGCACGGGUGAGUAACACGUGAAUAAUCUACCUCCGAGUGGGGAAUAACUGAGAGAAAUCUUAGCUAAUACCGCAUAACACUUACGAGUCAAAGCAGCAAUGCGCUUGGAGAGGAGUUCGCGGCAGAUUAGUUAGUUGGCGGGUAAUGGCCCACCAAGACGAUGAUCUGUAUCC